rnacentral:rRNA from 1 species
UACGUAGGGUGCAAGCGUUAAUCGGAAUUACUGGGCGUAAAGCGUGCGCAGGCGGCUUUGCAAGACAGAUGUGAAAUCCCCGGGCUUAACCUGGGAACUGCAUUUGUGACUGCAUGGCUAGAGUGCGGCAGAGGGGGAUGGAAUUCCGCGUGUAGCAGUGAAAUGCGUAGAGAUCCGGAGGAAGACCGGUGGCGAAGGCGGUCUGCUGGGCAGUUUCUGACACUGAGGCGCGACAGCGUGGGGAGCAAACAGG